rnacentral:rRNA from 1 species
CAGAGGCCCCAAACGUUGCGCGGAAUCACUGGGCUUAAAGGGUGCGUAGGCGGGCCCGCAAGUGCUUUGUGAAAUCCCACGGCUUAACCGUGGAAUUGCUCGGCGUACUGCGGGUCUUGAGGUCGGCAGAGGUUGCUGGAACUCUAGGUGUAGCGGUGAAAUGCGUAGAUAUCUAGAGGAACGCCCAAGGUGAAGACAGGCAACUGGGCCGAUUCUGACGCUGAGGCACGAAAGCGUGGGUAGCGAACGGGAUUAGAUACCCCGGUAGUCCACGCCCUAAACGAUGCGCACUAGAUUGUGGUGGCUCUGACGCCGGCACGGUCGAAGCUAAAGUGCAAGUGCGCCGCCUGGGGAGUACGGUCGCAAGGCUAA